GUCAUACUAAGGCGCAAUGUGGGUCAAAGUAAACGAUGAUACUUCUCUGACUCUAGGCUAGAAUGGCCGAUAAAAGACAGCAUAGUGCCUGACCGGGAUCGCCGUUCUGGUCAGGUUUCUUU
rfam:Edwardsiella ictaluri 93-146, complete genome.